rnacentral:lncRNA from 1 species
GAUUCUAACUUCUUUUUCUUUUCUAAUUUAGUCUAGCACAGUCUGAUCCACUUUGUCAAAAGAAGCGAUCAGUGACAUGGGCCCCGGAUGUGUAUGAUCCAGCUCCAACAGAGUUGUCACAUGCAUUAUCAGACAAGAGUCAGAGCCAUCAAAGCAAUAGGAAGAAGUUUGGGAAAAACAAGCAGAAAUGAAGAUGGUUUUGGUGGUGGAUUCCUGCCCUAUGGUAGUGCUUCCCACCGUUUAUUGUGCCAUUUGGUGAAGGCUGAUGGUUGGGUAGGUAUAUCUGCCAAUUCCGAGUCCUGUGGAUUGGGGGUGCCAAAGGAAGAUGUCGCAUGAGAUCACACAUGGAUAACUGUGAUGGAUUGUAAGGUUCACACUGGGCGCUUGACAGAGUUUUGAGGCUUUUCUUGCAAUAGGUUUGAGCUUAUUGUGCUUGUUUCUUUUAGGUCGUUUUUAGUGCUUGGUUGAUGGCUUAGAGUUUAUGUGAUUGGGCUGCUGUGGUGGGUUAGACUUUUUGGUACUUGGGCUGUGAUAAUGUUUUCUUUUCUAACAACUCUACCUGCUUUCCCUUUUUUCUUUUCUUUUAUUUUUUUUAAACAAACAAAUAACAAGAGUUCUUUUCUUCUACAAAUAAUACCAUUAAAAAUACCCUUUUGUAGACUAGACAUACCAUGAAUAGUAGGUUUUGACUGGGAUUUUAUCACUGGACCGAGGCAAUUUGGUAUCAAUUGAUGCAAAAUGAGAGACACGAAGAAGAAAGAAAUUGUAGGAACAAGUUAAUUGAAUUCUGCUUCGAUUUAUUCUUAAAAUUUUUGGUAAAAAUGAAAUCUACUGAAAUAAAUCAAAAUCAAUUUCUUAUUUCAAUUUUGGUGUAUUUUCAGCAUGUUUCUAUUGCCUCUUCCAUCACGUGUUCUAUCUUAGUAGACAUCAUUGUUUACUGCUAUAUAGAAUGUUCUCAUACAAUUAAAAAUAAGAUAAAUUAUUGACUUCGGUAUGAAACUGAGCUAUUGCUUGGAAUGACUAUUUUCCCUUCAAUUUUCCCUUGCUGUAUGCUUGCUUUUUCAAUGUUUAUUAAGUAGUUAUGAUGCAUUUUUAGAAAAAUUAUUUUCAGGAAUUGUCUACAGAUGAGAAUAUAUUCAAACCAUCUGAUGUUGAACAGGC